CUGUGGGGAUGUUAGACAUUGUCUGGUAUUCAGAGAAGAGUUGGAUGAAGGGUUCCCAGCCAAAGGCUUCCUGAAGCUGAAGAGCAUGAAAAAACAGUAUUAAAAGUGCAUCAUACUUCGCUAAGUUUCUGCAAAGAUUCAUGCACGCCUCUCUGAAAUUCACUUUCUGUGACCUUUUGUGAGAAUGAAACUCAAAUGCUAAUGGAAAUCAGAGCCAAGAGAGGCACAAACACCACCACGGAGGAUGCAUUAAAGCAAUAGAGCUGAUAUUCAUGAACAUUUUUGUUGUGGUGACCCCGGAUCUAAUGUUUUUAUUGUAUUUUAGAAUGUUUUAAUACCGUGUUCAUUAUACGGCUCUUUAGAAAUAAAUGGUCUGAAUGUCA